AUCAAUUCAUUUAUCCAUAUUGACCUGGAGAAAAAAAAAAAAAAAAUUCAUGUCUUUUAGAAUCAGCAGCAAUGUGCGAGGAUUUGUACAUAGUUUCUGUCUUAAUUAAGCAAGUCCCACGCAUGAAAACACUGGCAAGACACUGUAUCUACUGUUAAUGCAAAUAUAACUUAAAUUAUUUUCUAUAAUGCAAGUCUUUUUUAUGCUAUUAUGUGAUAUGUAUGUCUUUGGAUAAUUAUUAUUUGUUCUCAUGAAAGAAAAGGCCACAGCAACAUUGUGAAGACUUGACAUUCUCAUUACCUAUGAACUUGCCUAUCUUUUACUACUUUUGCCAGCUAUUCUUCUGUAUCCUGAUUCCCGGAAAUAUUGGUUUCAAAACAAUCUAACUGAAUCAACACCUCAUUUACUGGUACUACAUUAAACAACUUUGUGUGAUCUUUAAUAAGUUAGACAUAGGAUAACUUUAUAGUUUCCUUUCUUCUUUGGAGAAUUUGUCUCCCAUUUGGGCAUUGAGAUUGAAUAAGCCUUUUGCUUUCUGUCACUAAACUGCACUGUGUGUCUGUGUCUGGGAACCUUAUAAAUAAUGGUAUUCAAUUCAAUUGAAUUUUAUUUACCCACUUAUCAUGUUUAAAAAAGUUCACUAGUGUUAGAAGAUUUUUGAAAAAGGUGUGAGUUUGAAAGAAAUAGAAAUCAAGCCAUAAAUGUUGGGAUUUCUCAAAUGGUGGAGUCCACUGUCAAACUAUAAAAAUACAUUUACCCGUCUUACUAGUUCAUUCAAGAUAAGGGUAAUAAAGGAAAUAAAAUACUUUCAUUCUUUAUUUAUUUAUUUCAAGGAAGAAUACAGUUGAAUCUAUCGCUUGAAAAUUUAUUCUAAACAUAAGAAUUCUUUUAUAAAUUGAAUAGAAUUCUUGCACAUGAUUUGUUCCAAUUGCUCUAUGCUGAUGGUAAUUCUAUCAUUUGCAGUACUUCAA
rnacentral:misc_RNA from 1 species